UACCAGCACCCCGAGUGGUCGGGACGAUUAUUGGGCCUAAAGCAUCCGUAGCCGGCCUUACAAGUCCUCCGUUAAAUCCAGCUGCUUAACAGAUGGGCUGCGGAGGAUACUAUAAGACUAGGAGGCAGGAGAGGCAAGCGGUACCCAGUGGGUAGGGGUAAAAUCCGUUGAUCCAUUGAAGACCACCAGUGGCGAAGGCGGCUUGCCAGAAUGCGCUCGACGGUGAGGGAUGAAAGCUGGGGGAGCAAACCGG
rnacentral:rRNA from 1 species